GUCAAGGGCAGAGUAACCAAGAGAUCUCAGCAAGCAUGAGGGAGAUUCAAGGAGCUGGCAUUGUGUGACUGGGGACAGAAAAGCCCUCAUGCAGGCAGGCGGGUCACAAUUGUUCCCUUCAGAUUUCUGAGGGGCUGCCUUGGUGGGAGAGGGGGUAGUUCAGUUCUGUGGGGCUCCAGGGGGCAAAAGGCAUGAUAAAUGAGUAGAAGUCAUGGAGAGGUGGAGCUUGCCUCCAGACAGAAUGCUAAGAAGGAUGCUGCUGCACAGUGGGGACUGAGCCAACUCACUGUUCAACAAAUAAGCAUUGGAGGGUCUCUAGUUCCAUAGAAAGAAGGCAAAUGAAGAGGACAGAAGAAGGAGAGAGACCUUCCCACCCCAUCAGCCCUAUGCUGCAGAGAGGGAUCCCACAUCUACUUCUCUUGCAGAAACCAACUGGUGGAAGUGACCUUCUCAUGGAGUGUCCUUCACAAGAAGAGUAUCCCCAGCACACAGAUGAGAUUAUCAAGUCCAUGGGGG
rnacentral:lncRNA from 1 species